CCGAGUUAUACCAACUCAUCAACCCUGUGAACAUACCUAUAACGUUGCCUCGGCGGGAACAGACGGCCCAGUAACACGGGCCGCCCCCGCCAGAGGACCCCCUAACUCUGUUUCUAUAAUGUUUCUUCUGAGCUAAACAAGCAAAUAAAUUA
rnacentral:misc_RNA from 1 species